rnacentral:rRNA from 1 species
CUAAGGUAGCAUAAUCAUUUGUUAUUUAAUUGUUAACUGGAAUGAAAGGUUGAACUGGCUUAUUAAGUUUGUUAAGUUGUAUAGUAAUUUAAAGUUAAGGUAAGAAUUCUUUAAUUUUCUAGGGGACGAUAAGACCCUAGAAGCUUAACAAGCAUAAUGGUUUGUUUUAGAAGUUUGUUUGUUUUACUGGGGCGGUAGAAGUAAUUAAACUAUUUAAUGGUUAGAGGAUCCUUAAGAUAAAGAGAAAAUGGGGAAGUUACUCUAGGGGUAA